rnacentral:rRNA from 1 species
GACGAACGCUGGCGGCGUGCUUAACACAUGCAAGUCGAACGGAGUGGCGAACGGGGGAGUAACACGUGGGUGAUCCGCCUUGCACUUCGGGGUAAGCUUGGGAAACUGGUUCUAAUACCGGAUAGUGCAAGAUGAGCUCGCGGCCUAUCAGCUUGUUGGUGGGGUAAUGGCCUACCAAGGCGUCGCCUGGUAGCCGGCCUGAGAGGGUGUACGGCCACAUGGUGACUGAGAUACGGACCAGUGUCCAACGGGGGGCAGCAGUGGGGAGUAUUGCGCAAUGGGGGGAAGUCUGAUGCAGCGACGCCGGGUGGGGAAUGAAGGCUUUCGGGUUGUAAACUCCUUUCGACAGGGACGCGGUACCUGUAUAAGAAGCACCGGCUAACUACGUGCCAGCAGCCGCGGUAAUAC